UGGAUGGUUACUCGGAAUGGUGCGUCCUAUUUUAUCGGGAAGGUCUCGUGGCACCGAUCGAGAUGCGCGUUAGAUGGAUGCUCCCAAAUGCGAGUCCUUUCUAUUGUACCAGCAGCAUCUUGGAUAUGAGCUUCGUUCAGCUACGGAUUCCCAGUCGGUCGAUCUGUGACUCUGACGGUGUGUGUCUGCACCUGCUUACUUCAGCGGUUCAGCCUCGUUGAUGAUUCAGUAAACGCACUUACGACUUACUUAAAAAAAGGAUUCAGUAACC
rnacentral:lncRNA from 1 species